rnacentral:rRNA from 1 species
GGUUGCGAUCAUACCAGCACUAAUGCACCGGAUCCCAUCAGAACUCCGCAGUUAAGCGUGCUUUGGCGAGAGUAGUACUAGGAUGGGUGACCACCUGGGAAGUCCUCGUGUUGCAACCC